GAUGAAGAACGUAGCGAAAUGCGAUAAGUAAUGUGAAUUGCAGAAUUCAGUGAAUCAUCGAAUCUUUGAACGCACAUUGCGCCCCCCAGUAUUCUGGCGGGCAUGCCUGUUCGAGCGUCAUUUCAACCAUCAAGCCCUGCUUGUGUUGGGGUCCUGCGGCUGCCCGCAGGCCCUGAAAACCAGUGGCGGGCUCGCUAGUCACACCGAGCGCAGUAGCACAUCUCGCUCAGGGCGUGCGGCGGGCUCCAGCCGUUAAAGCACCCACCUUUCGCAAGGUUGACCUCGGAUCAGGUAGGAAUACCCGCUGAACUUAAGCAUAUCAAUAAACGGAGGA
rnacentral:misc_RNA from 1 species